AACGACUCUCGGCAACGGAUAUCUAGGCUCUCGCAUCGAUGAAGAGCGUAGCGAAAUGCGAUACUUGGUGUGAAUUGCAGAAUCCCGUGAACCAUCGAGUCUUUGAACGCAAGUUGCGCCCGAGGCCUUUAGGCCGAGGGCACGUCUGCCUGGGCGUCACGC
rnacentral:rRNA from 1 species